rnacentral:rRNA from 1 species
CGCUGGCGGCGUGCCUAAUACAUGCAAGUCGAGCGGACGAUUCAAAAGCUUGCUUUUGGAUCGUUAGCGGCGGACGGGUGAGUAACACGUGGGCAACCUGCCCUGUAGACGGGGAUAACACCGAGAAAUCGGUGCUAAUACCGGAUAACACGGAAGACCGCAUGGUUUUUCGUUGAAAGGCGGCGCAAGCUGUCGCUACAGGAUGGGCCCGCGGCGCAUUAGCUAGUUGGUGAGGUAACGGCUCACCAAGGCGACGAUGCGUAGCCGACCUGAGAGGGUGAUCGGCCACACUGGGACUGAGACACGGCCCAGACUCCUACGGGAGGCAGCAGUAGGGAAUCUUCCGCAAUGGACGAAAGUCUGACGGAGCAACGCCGCGUGAGCGAAGAAGGCCUUCGGGUCGUAAAGCUCUGUUGUUAGGGAAGAACAAGUACCGCAGUCACUGGCGGUACCUUGACGGUACCUAACGAGAAAGCCACGGCUAACUACGUGCCAGCAGCCGCGGUAAUACGUAGGUGGCAAGCGUUGUCCGGAAUUAUUGGGCGUAAAGCGCGCGCAGGCGGUUCCUUAAGUCUGAUGUGAAAGCCCACGGCUCAACCGUGGAGGGUCAUUGGAAACUGGGGGACUUGAGUGCAGAAGAGGAGAGCGGAAUUCCACGUGUAGCGGUGAAAUGCGUAGAGAUGUGGAGGAACACCAGUGGCGAAGGCGGCUCUCUGGUCUGUAACUGACGCUGAGGCGCGAAAGCGUGGGGAGCAAACAGGAUUAGAUACCCUGGUAGUCCACGCCGUAUACGAUGAGUGCUAAGUGUUAGAGGGUAUCCACCCU